rnacentral:rRNA from 1 species
GGCGCACGGGUGAGUAACACGUAGGCAAUCUACCAUUAGGACGGGGACAACCUCGAGAAAUCGAGGCUAAUACCCGAUAAUGCAGCGGCACCGCAUGGUGAUGUUGUUAAAGGCCCGCAAGGGCGCCUAUUGAUGAGCCUGCGUCCCAUUAGGUAGUUGGCGGGGUAACGGCCCACCAAGCCGACGAUGGGUAGCUGGUCUGAGAGGAUGAUCAGCCACACUGGAACUGAGACACGGUCCAGACUCCUACGGGAGGCAGCAGUGAGGAAUAUUGCGCAAUGGCCGAAAGGCUGACGCAGCGACGCCGCGUGAGGGAUGAAGUCCGUUAGGAUGUAAACCUCUUUUGCGAGGGAUGAAUGUUCCGCCUUGUGCGGACUUGACCGUACCUUGCGAAUAAGGGUCGGCUAACUACGUGCCAGCAGCCGCGGUAAUACGUAGGACCCGAGCGUUGUCCGGAAUUACUGGGUGUAAAGGGCGUGUAGGUGGACCUCUCAGUCGGUGGUGAAAUCCUGCGGCUCAACCGCAGAACUGCCGCCGAUACUGGAGGUCUUGAGUACGGCAGAGGGAGAUGGAAUUCA